rnacentral:lncRNA from 1 species
UGGAAAGUAACUAUGGAAAAAAUCACUCACUUGUAUUGCAAAGGUAGGGACCACAAUAUGAGUGAUUUUCACUGGGUAUAAUGGGUUGGAUGGAUGAUGUACCCUCCAACGAAAUAUCCAAGUUUUAAUCCAUGGUACCUGUGAAUGUAACCUUUUUUGAAACAGGGUCUAUCUUUGCAGAUAUAAUUAAGAAUCUUGGGGUAAGAUCACCCUAGAUUUAGGAUGGACCCUAAAUCCAAUGGCUAUGUUCUUAUAAGAUAAAAGAGAAGAAGAGUAUAAACCCAAGAGGGACACAGGGGGAAAACUGUGUGAAAAUGGAAGCAGAUAUUGGAGUUAUGCAGCUACGCCAAAAGAUGGCAAGGAUUGCUAGCUGCCACCAGAAGAUAAGAGCAAGGCAUGGAAUGAAUUCUCUUUCAGAGCCUCCAAGAGGACCCAAUCCUCUCAACACUUUGAUUUUGGACUUCUGGCCCAAGACUGCCCUAUAACUUUUAGGGGUGACCUGGGACCACAAGAAUUUGGAUGACAAAUACCCCCAAAAUAGUCUGAAGACCAGAGGGCAUGUCUCAUAAUAUUCCAGAGUAUGUAGCACCUGGAAGAGGUAAGACACCCCUAAUGAAUACCCCCUCUCAAAAAUAAACAUGGCAAACCCUGGAUUUCUCAUUUCCCUUGACCAGGGUGGCUUAGAGCUAGAUUUAACUUCAUUUAGAAUAAAAUAGGAUAGGGAUUUGUCUGUCUUAUUCACUGCUUUAUCGCUAGCACCUAGAAUACUGCCAGCACAGAUGUUGAAUGAAUAGAUUCUUGCUCCCAGGGCAAAAACCAGACUCAUGUCUGCCACAUGAGUAAAGUACCUGAUUUUAUGUAUGCCGUCACAGAGUAAGUGUCAGUGUUGGAUACUCAGUUUUUGCCAAACACAUACAGUACUUAUUUGCAUGUAAUUUGUCAGAAAAGCCUAGAAUACCCUGUUGGUUUACUAAAUUGUUUUAGCACUGUUAGCACCAUCUGCUAGGCCUGGACUCCUAUGGGUACCUUGCCUGCUGAGUUUCCUCACUUCCUUAUUAUUGUAAGUUCUCAUCCCAUUUUCUGGCAGAGUCCUUAUCUAUUAAAAAUUCAGAGUUACUUGGGUCCUGAGUGUGAAACCAAUUCUGUUUCAUAGACUACGAAUUUAAGGUUCUAGAUCCUUUUCCAUCUGUAUGUGACAUUUCUGCCCUUCAUACAUUGGCCAUACCCACAU